CCCACAUGUUACUCAAAAUAUGUAUUAUAUUUUUUGUAAUGGGCGUCACUAUUGGCCAGUCCUGAAUAUCACCUUUGAAAAGCCAUGUUUGCCGAUAUUGUGAGAAAAGGUUCACCUCUGUUUUUCAACUUGACAGAUGGUUACCCCCUGUGCUAGUGGAAGAUGUGACUUUGAAGACAGUCAUUGUAAAAGGUGCAAAAGGCUUGUCUAAGAUAAGCUGGCAGUCUACCCGCAUGGCCUGCGUUGCUGACAUUAAGUGAAGUUAAUGCAGAGUUCCUGUGCCUGACAGAUACUUGAGGAAGCAUCUUGGAGGUUGUCAAGGAGAAGGGAGGCAUUGCCAGAAGGAAGGUAGGAUAACUCAUGGCUCCAGCAGCUAAUGGAAACAUUGUGUUUGAGUUGCAAACAAUCUAAUGAAGUUGGGUAUUAGGUAUUAGAAGGUCAGACAUUAGGUGUGGGAGAUGCAUGGCCCACCUCUAGGUUCACUGACUCUGAAUUUUGAACAGUUCUGAUUAUGGUGUUCACAAACGAUCUGCACCCCAAUAAAGAGAGCAUGCGAUAAAUGGCACCUGCAUAUCACUGACAAGCACACUAUUAAAUGCCCCCUAUUAGUGGCCAUGGUUGUCAUUCACUAGAUAUCAGGAUUUUUACAUUUAGUGCCAUUAAAGCUACAUAAAAAGUGUGUGCACAGUGUUAAGCUUUCUGCAUUUUCUUUUUCCACCAUCAGGACUGGAGUGGCGAAGUGAUCCAAAGGCAGACUGCACAUCUACGUAUAUGGUUUGCAAGGAACAUCCCGUGCCAGAGACUGUGAUACAAGGCAUGGAGCUGGACAGUGAACUCGGAGCAUCUCUUGUGCAUGUGUGAUGCUGUUUGGACUCGGUUACCGGUAUAUACCCUCAAUCUCAACUCUGUGGAUUUGGAUUUACAAUUUUAAGUAUCCAGAUGAACUGAAAUAUAUGUUCUGGUGAAUUUGGAAAAUAUGCCCAAAAGGUCCAAUCACUAUAAACUACAGUAAAUAUGUUGGACACUGGCAAUCUCAGGUUCUAAGCCAUUGUAUAAAAGGACAAUCCAUCGCAUUUCUAUUAAUACCUUUGUGUGCUGUUCUCUGAUCUGAGUUAAUGAUUUUUUUUGUCCUUUUUUGUCUUUUGUCAGCAUGGCAUUGAGUAUCAUUGAGGGGCUUUUUUCUAAACAUUGGCUAUGCAGAUUAAAAGAUGAGCACUGUAAGGAAAGGCGUAAUAACGCCUCAGUAGCACUUCAUGGACACAUUGAUAUCAUAAUUAAAAACAUUUCUCUCUCCCUCUCCUCCCCCACUUUGAGAAAGAAUCAAAGAGUCAAAAGUGCUCCUGCGGGCAGUUGGUUAAUUCUAAAAUGUCCAUUCACAAAUAACAUCUUUUUCAUGAAUGUCUAAGUAAAUAAGUGAGUAAAUAGACACAUACUGUUCUGAUGAGAGUAUGCUUUUCGGCCAAAGAUAUCUGACUGCAUAUCUGACCCAAGCGAUUAUGACAUUACUUAGAAUUUGAUGGUGGUUGUAAGCAUUCAUGAAAAAGAUGACAUUUCUGAACAGGCCACAUUAAUUAAUGUGUUAAAGUACACUGAUAAUUUCAGGUUUUCUGUUUAAUUUCUGUUUAAUCAUACGAUUAUAUUGUCAAGAUUUUGGUGUUGUAUUAUCGUUUGACUGCAUGUUUGUCCAGCUGAUGAAAUAUUAAUAAAAGAAAUGUUUUGAAGUUCUUGUCAAGUAUAUUUUUCUCAUACACCUAAACAAGAUAUUAAUUCUACAUGAGAAAAUAAGUAUUCUAGCUAAGAAAAUCAGACUAGUUUUAAGACUUUAAGUGAGCUGGAAACAAGUAAAUUUGCCUUGUUUUAAGCGUCUUGUAUGCUUGUUUUGAGCAAUAAUUUCUUGGAGGACAUCUAAUUCUAAGCAAUAAUGACUAAUAAAGGAGAAGAAAUUGCUUAAAAUAAGAGCAAAAAUCUUAACAAGCAACAGAAAAAUAAGAUUUUUAUACUUGUUUCAAGUGUUUUUCUAUACCUACCGCUUAGAUUUUAUUUUCUUGUUUUAAGAAUUCUUACCAAGUCCAAUUUGCUCGCUGCACUGGCAGAUUAUUUUGCUCAAAAUAAGCAAUUUUUCACCUAAAACACUAUAUUUUUUACUUAUUUUUUUAGAGGGCUUUUUUGC